rnacentral:rRNA from 1 species
AAUUGCAGAAUUCAGGUGGAAUCAUCGAAAUCUUUGAACGCACCUUGCGCCCUUUGGCUAUUCCGAAGGGCAUGCCUGUUUUGAGUAUCAUG